GAAGAUUGAUGAGUUAUGAAUGAGAGCAUUGUGAGAUAUGGAACGGUCAACAAUGAAAACAGAAACUCGAGAACCGAUUCUAAUAGUGAUGAUAGGACCAUAUUUGGCGUGGAGGGUUUUAAGAAAAGGUUCGAGUUGGGCGAAGGAUUUUCGGAGCCAUAGGAUGCUUGUGAGGACGGGGAUGUGGAGUGGACCGGGAGGGAGUGUGGGGGUGGUGAGGGUGGAGAUAGUGGCUUUGAUGAGGAAGAUGAUGAAGAGUGAGAGUAGUGCAAUGAACCAUGUUUCCAUUAUCAGGUAAAAGUGUUAGUGAUGAAAGAGUGGAAAUGGAAUAAUAAGAAAACUUGUAUGGAUAUGGUGAUUAAUAUAAGCCUUAAAUAAGGCGAGGCCUAAGUUUGCCCUCGUGAAAAACAUGGUAAUUAUACAUGCAACAUGAAUCUAAUCAAGUUAAAACAUAUGUACUCCGAUAAAUAUCUUAGCGACCAUCAAAUCGUCCAUCCAAUCUAUUGAGAAAAUUAAUGCCAAAAACAAAGUAAUAUCGUGUGAGAAAGAGGGAAUUGAAUCAUCUUCUACUAUUUCUCUAUGGCCCUCCAUCCUGCUCCUUUUUUUGUUCCUAUCUCUUUCAUCAUUUAAUCUCUCUCAUCUUUAAUACUUCUUUUUUGAUUUUUAAUUUGUCUCUCAUCACUCUCACAAAAUUAGAGCUGGAGUCCUGCCCAACAGGCUGCAGAGAGUUUCUUGAAAAUUAAGAGACCUUUAUAUUCAAGAAAAGGAAGAUUGAUGAAGAGAUAACAAAGAUGAUUAAAAUAAAUUUUUCAUUCACUUUUUCAAAGAGCAUUAUUUGUUUACAAGUUAAUCACCAACCAUCUCUAGUACACAUCGAGAGAGCACAAUUUAUUUAUAGACUACUGACAUAUAUAUCUAAUAUAUGAAGAUUAAACCAUUACAUGGCAUAAAUAACUAUUACAUACAUGUUGAAUGCUACAAUAUACAUGAACAGACUUCUACUACAACAUUCUCCAGAUUUUAGCUUUAUCGAUAUCUCCAGUCUUCCCCUCUGUUGAAAACUAUAACUACAUCCAAUGCGUUUGAGUUUGAUCCGACUAACUUAUAAUAACAAAGCUACAAAUAUCCAUCUUGGAACUAACUUCGAGCCAUGAAACAAACUAGCUGUCAUCAUGCAGUUUUAUCAACUACGUACAAUGAAAGAACUUGCAACUUAGCAAUUACUUGGUGAUCAUAUCAGCAGCAUCGUGAUCGGUCAAAAUCUUCAUCACCUUUACUUCUUCCCUUUCAAUUUUCUCUUUGACAAAAUGCAACCUAACAUCAAUAUGUUUUUUCAUUUAAUGAUAAGUCGAAUUAUUCGACAAAUAUAUGACACUUAAACUAUCACAUUUAACAACAAUUACUUGACCUUGAAGUUUUAACUCAUUGGCAAAACCUUCAAGCCACAAUGCUUAUUUCAUAACUUCGGUGAAGACAAUGUAUUCCGCUUCAGUGGUUCAUAAGGCUACACCUUCUUAAGGGUUACUUUCCAACUAAUUGUUAUGCUGAACAUAGUGAAAACAUAUCUAUACAAAGAUUUUCUGGUGUCCUUACAUCCUGCAUAGUCAGAGUCCGCAAACUCUUCGAUUUUCCUUUGGACAUCAUGACCUCUGUCUCCACCAUAAAUUAGGACCUUGCUCAGGGAUCCUUUUAUGUAUCUUAGGAUCCAUUUCAAAGCUUGUCAAUGAGCUUUUCUAAGAUUUUCCAUGUACCUGCUUACAAGGCUUACUGCAUAAGCUAUGUCUGACCUGGUACAGACCAUAACGUACAUCAAAGAACCUACUAUACUAGUAUAUGUAAUGCUAUCCAUAUACGCCCUUUCAACUUCAGUACUAGGAAUUUUAGUUAUACCCAACUUGAAUUAUUCAGUUGUUGAUGUUAUAAUAGGUUUUGAGUUUGACAUAUCAAACUUGUUUAGAAUCUUCCUUAUAUAUGACUUUUGAGAUAAGCAUAAUGUCGACUACUUUCUAUCUCUCUUGAUAUCAAUAAACAAAAUCUUGGUUGCAUCUCCAAGGUCCUUCAUUUCGAAUUCAUGGUUGAGUUUAACCUUCACCGUCAUUACUUAUUCAACGAGGUUGCUUGCUAUGAGGAUGUCAUCUACAUAGAGCAAUAAGAUGAGAAGUGAAUUUUCAGGUGAGAACCUGAAAUAGACACAAUGAUCGAAAUUGCUCCUUAUGAAACCUAUGUGUGCUAUUGCCGCAGUGCGAAAAAUGACUACGAGCGCUCGCACGCUCGAGAUGAUAGUAGAGUCACUACCAAAGUUUAUUCAUUCCAAUAGGAAAGAAAAAAUAUUGAUAAAACCCUUAAAUAAAAAGAAAAUGGUCUUCGAAACCAAAUCCGGAUUCGGAAGUCGAUUAUGCGAGGGGAAGGUAUUGACACCUCUCACUUCCGUUGUACUCAACGGGAACCAUUUAGUUAACUUUGCGAAAGUGAAUGUUAGCUAUCAUUUAUUUUCUUUCAUCUAGUUAUUAAAAUUUUGAGAGAAAAAGGACUAAAAAUAGUUUUUUUUAUUAUGAUGUCUGGCGAGACUUUAAAUCUCGCUCCUGCGUAUCCCCAGGUGCGAUAUGGAACUCAAUGCUACAUAGUUCUGGGAUAGGAAAAUGCUUGUUGGUUGGUCGAUUUUAGCAAAAGGUACUUAGUCUAAUUCGAGCAGAAACCAUUUGCUUGCAACCCAAAAAAUGGAGAAGUGAACAUUAACAUCGCGUCAGAAUAGACAACAUAACUUGGAAUCUCAUAGAGUUAUAUCCUCGUCGCAUUCGAGCGGAAAGCUUUCUAACUUCUUGCGUAUGGUAGGAACGAAGCUUAGUUUGCAUCGUCUCGGAAUGGACGAAGCAUCUUUGGUUUAUGAAAAAGUUUUGACAUCACGCUAAGGCGGAAAAAAGGUUUGAUUGGUUGAGUUUAUUUUAGGAGGAUAACAAUGAACACUCAGUAAGACCAAGACGUCUGCCUCGGGGCCGAUUAUUCAAGGUUUCAAGGAAUAUGUAAUCCAAUUUACCUUUUUUAUCCAAAGUGUUUAUGAAAUUUAUUUGCGGAAGACGAACGUUUGGUAAGACCAAGAUGUGUGUCUCGGGGACGAUUGCUCGAGGUUUCAAGGAGUGUAAACUCAAAUGUUAUCUUUCAUCCAAGUUUAAUUAAGUGUUUUAUAACGGAAGAAGAAUUCCCGAUAAGACCGACAUGUGUGCCUCAUGCCAAUUAUUCAAGGCUUCAUGGAGAGUGUAAUCCAAUGUUCCUUUUAUUUCAAUUUUAUUAAGAAAAAGAUUUGAUGAAGUGCUUAAGUUAAAAAGAAAUUUAAUGGCGAUUAAACGUUUUGAUUCGCGUUUGAAAAGCGUUGAAAUUUGAUAAAAGAGGUUUGAGUUUGAUUUUUGAAAGUUCUUGAUGUUGAUUAAGAUGUUUAUUUAAAAAUACACCUGAUUUUAUUUUCUUAAAUGAUUUUAUUGCUCAAAAUAAUAAAAUAAAAAAGAAAUAAAAUAAAAGAAAUGCAAAAUGAGUGUGCAUAAGGUAAUAUGGGUCUAUGAGAUAAGAAAGAGUACAAAAACAGUAUGGGCCCAAAAUCCCAACAUAAUCAAACAAAAAGAAAGAAAAAAAGUGAUGAAUAAGUCAGGGGGUGCAUAACAACAUGGCCUAACGAUGUCCCAGUCUAAAUGUCAUCAGGCUCAUUCCAAGGGUUGAGGGAGUGAAAACAUGGACUCAACCUCAACCACUUGAUGAGAUCCAAGUUGAUCUGAAGGCAAUGAACCUAGGGCACAUGGUAGUUGUGGUAUGGGUCUCCUCAUGGGACCCCAGGUCAACUCAAAAUUGUUAAGCAAAUCAGGUGGCAAGGAGAGUGGCCACGUGUCUAAGACAACUAUGAUGAUGGAAAGGAAUAAAAAUGACAUAAGGGGUCUCACAUGUUCACUUUCCACUCCAUCUCUCUCUCUCUCUCUCUCUCUCUCUCUCUCUCUCUCUCCACACUCAAACCUUCUCUCUCUUUUCUCUCCCCACACCACCGUACAAACAACUUUUUAAACCUUUAUCCUCUUAAACAAAGAUCAGAGUAAUGUUUUAACAAGAACACAUGUUCAUGGUUAAAUUCUAGAUUUUCUCAUUUCGCUCCAAAACCAAAAGUGAAAAACGUAAACUCUACCUUAUUUCACAUUCUCAUCAUGAACCCAUCAUUAAAACAACCAAAAUAUCAACCCUAAGCCCGGAUCAAUUUUUAGCCCCAGAUAACACUAAAUCCAAAUUUAUACACUAUUCAGCCACAAUUUCAUCCAAUUACGACAAUUAAAUGUGCCACAAUGAUAAAGAAACAAAAAUUAACAAGGAAAAUGAAGUGAAAAUGAAGAAUAAUACCUCGCCGAAGUAUGAAACUCCGGUGAGUCCAAUACCUUAGGUAAACUCUUUUUUCUACUUCUGUUUGUUUGAUUCUCCCUCAGUUUCAUUCUCAUUCUUUUUUCUCCGACGAGUUAUAAUAGGCUUAUAUAGGGGGUUAGCUCAAGCUUUCUCAAGCUUAGAUGAUAAACUUGAGAGAGCUUUGGUAAGGGUUGGGGAUUUGAAUAUAACAGAGGUUUGUUAGGUUUUUUUCCCAUGUGUUAGAGGGUGAGUAGUGAUGGGUUUUUAUAGGUGAGAAUUGGGUGGGGAUUGGUGAUCAUCAUGUGAGUUUUGAGAGGGAAAAAAGUUAUUGAUGAUGGACUUUGGGGGGGAAAGUAGUGAUCCGUGUGACUUGAAGCAAGUGUGAAGGGUGAUAUAAUUCGUGACUUGUGAGCGAAUGAGUGACGCUUGAUGGUGCAUGCGUUUUCACAUUUGCUUUAUAUUAUUUAAAUUUCUUCAAUUCUUUUUAUUUUGUUUAUGGUUAUGUAUGAAUGAUGUUGGGAUGUUGAUGGGAUGAUGAGUUGUUGGUGCUAUGAAAAACUCGUGUGCAAUGCUGAAGUCCACUUUCACUUGCCUUAUCUUUUCAAUUUGUAGUUUGUUAAUGUUAUGUAUAUGGAUUUAUGAUGGUGAAGAUGUUAUGGGAUGAUGAGACCCUUACAACACGAAGCUCGUGCCAACCAACUCAACCUCUUUCUUAUUUUUUCUUUCAUUUAUUUACUUAUGUAUGUAUAAAUUAGAGUAUGGAUAUGUAUGAUUUAUUGACAAUAGAUGGUGUUCUUGCUAAAAAAAACACUAAAAGGUUGACUUCCCCGUUAUCCGUCGGGGAGAGCCCUAAAUGAUUGGUUAUAAGUGUCUAUUAUGUAUUUUCUUAAGCGAUUCUUUCUUACCUUUUUCAUCUAGGGAAUCUCCUAUUUAUAUGGAUAUACUCAUCCAUCAUCCCCUAAUGCUUGCCUCCUCAUAUCCCUCAUAAAGGUAGCCUUAGAUAACGUUCUAUGCCCCUAUAAUUGCCAGGUAACGUCUUUUCCAUCAAUAUUUGUAACUCUUAUGUCUCGUCGAAUGGAUUAUCUCUUAAACCUGAAAGCACGAAAGCUUUGAUAUCAAAGUUAGCUGGGUUUGCCGGUAUAAACCCUUUAGAAACCUAUCAUUUGUCGGUCCUUUUGUAAUGGUCCCCCAUAGUGGGUGGUGGUACGACUGCCAUGGUGAUCUCAUCUUCAGCAUCCAAAGAGAUUAGUGGAUUAUCUUUUUAAAAGAUCCUUUUAGCUAGAGUUGCUUCUCUAACUGCUCUCCUGUUAGCACCUGCAGUUCUUUCAAUUUCUGGAUCAAACAAUGUCUAUGUUGAUCCUGAGUUGCGCAUACACAAACAAGAAAUACCUCAGUAGUACAGUAAUUAAUGAAAAUAAAAAAAAAACUAAUAAACAAACGUUUCAUAAGUGUUAUCUUGUUGAAAUUAUCAACAGUCCUCGGCAACGGCGCCAAAAACUUGAUGACUUCUCGACAAGUGUACCGAGAAUGUCGCAGUAAUAAAAUAAGAUCGAAUACAUAAAGACUGCUAUUUAACAAGACAAAUUUAUGCCAUGCGUAUAAAAUAGUAAAUUGUGUGUGUGUGUGUGUGGGGGGGGGGGGGGGGGUCGAGUUUGAAUGCGAAAAGAAAAUAAAGUUGUUUGACAAUAAGAAGAAACUGGUCAAGUUGUGUAUAGAAUCCUCUAUUUUUCUAUUGUUGAUGUUCGAUGCAUUACAUGAAUGAUAUUGGCACUAUAAUCACACAACGAAUUAACAAAGCCUAUAUACCCAACCCCUUGCAGUAUAGCUCACUAAUUAUUACUUAGAGUUUCCUAUCCCUAUCCCACCAGCGUAAGCAAGAUUAGGCAAUGCAACAUAGCGUUAAUUCCGAAGCCAUUACUCGGGGUCUCCUAUCCCUAUUCAACCAGCGUAAGCACAAUAAUUGUCCUAGGUCCAACAUAUAGACUAAUGGUCAGUAUUCCCUAUGUGCCCAAAAUCAGAUUAAAAAUGUAUCUCACAUAAAAAGCAUUAAGAACAAGGUGCAAUUGAAUAUAAUUAUAGAUUAAAUUACUCAUGCAAUAUUAAAUCAAACAUAUGUCCUAACAAUAUCAAAAUAGGUUCAUCAAACACAACAUAACCUAGAGAGAAUUAGUUACUCAUGAUUCAAAUUACAAUACCAAAAUAAGAAUAAGAGGUUUGCACCAGAAUUCCCUUGUAAAAUUGGCCUCCAAUGGCUUCAAAUGCUCUCCAAAUAUGCCUUCUAGUGUUGCAAAUCGUCCUCUUUGGUGUUGAAAUCUGUAACCCCUAAAAAAGUACCAAAAGUCCCCUUAAAAAGCCUUCAGAAUGGACUAGAACACGUCCAAAAAGCCCAGAAAAAGGGUUAUCGUGCGUGUGAUGACCUGUAUCGUGCGCACGAUGUUGCGUGUCAUUAUUCCAAUAGUUGCACGCUUUUGCUCCUUUUUUCAUUUGAUUUUCACUAAGUCCCUAUUUAUCCACACUUAGCUAUUUUUUCCUCUUUCUUUGGCCUUUACUCUUCAUUUUUUUUCUCCUCUUUAACUUGUUUUGAUCUGUUUCUUCGGCCGAAUUUACGCAAUGAUGGAGUAUCAUCAAGCACAAUCACCAAUACAAACAAAAACCCUCUAAAGUAUUUUUCACACCCAAUGCGCUAAGGAAAAUUUAGUGAAAAAUAUGAAAAAAAAGAGGAGAGUAGUGGAAAAUGAGAAAAAGCAUUGUAGAAAUCACAACUCUUAUGUGAUUUUAAAUGAGGAGAAGUCUCUUUUAUAUAGAAAUGUUUUGGCUAAAAAAGGAAAUGAUCAAUGGGCCAAAUUAAAUUUCUUAAUUGAUUAUACAGUAGUCAUAAUCGAUUAUGAGAUUCAAAAUGCAACGGUCCUAAUUCUUUAAAAGGAAAACGUAUAUCGACUAGUAUCUUGAUUGAUUAAAAGUGUUUAUAAUCAAUUAUGAAGUUAUCUUCCUUGCUCUAAUUGAUUAUAACAAUUCCAUAAUCGGUUACGCAAUGUAAAAACUUCCUAAAUUGAUUAGAAAUACUUCUUAAUCAAUUGAACAUAAGUCUUGAUAAGUUUUUAAGAUAUUUUAAGGUGUUUUAGCAAAAGAUAGAGAUUUGGAACUAUUUUUAUGUGUGUGUGUGUGUGUAUGUGUGUUUGUGUGUGUGUGUGUAUGUGUGUAUGUAUGUGUGUGUAUGUGUGUAUGUGUUUGUGUCUGUGUGUGUGCACGCACGUGUGUAUAAUAACUUAGGAGUUACUCCCAUACCUUUAUAAUACAUUGAUCACUGAGACACAUGACUAAACGAGCUUUUACACUUUCUCUCUUUCACAACUCUUAAGCUUUAAGUUCCCCUACUUGAUUCAUCAUAGAUUUGGAACUUCAUCAGUAACUUGACUCUCCUACUCAUGAGUCUUGAUAUAGCUUAUUUGAUAGAUAUCAUCAUCAGGGGUGGGUUGAUAGGAGAUCAUUAGAGACUUCACCAAACAUCUCUUGAUCGUAGGUGUUGCCUUUGGCUUUACUUAUUGAUCUCACAAGGACAUAUUAAUGUUGAUCUAACAUCUUGAUAAUUACUUCUUCUUUAUAGAUGAAGAUUUCACAUUAUAUUGUUUUAGAUAAAACACUGUCACCAUUAAAACCACCAAACAUUUGUUCCCCUACCUAUGUUUGAAAGGCAUAAGCUUUGAGCUUAGUCUGUUCAUUGUGAAUUUAUGGGUUCUUGUCGCUCUCAUAAGGAUUUUGUUUGUUGUGAUGUUUAUAACCGUUGUUUUCUCAUUUCUAAAAAUGUGAUAUUUUUUUAUAAACAAUUUUAGAUUUUGUUGUCUUCCUCCUGCCAUGAAUGAUAUUGCUAGUCUUCCCAAUUUUUCUAUUGUUCCUCAAUCUAUUGAAAAUUUUAAACCAGUUAAUAUAUAUGUUAGACGAUAAUGGCACCAUAUUUCCACUCCUCUUAUAGAUAUUGAUCUUCCAUCUGAUCCUAAAUCGGAUGAACCAUGACAUUUUAAUCGAAUAUCUUAAGACCUUGAUAGAUAUUCAUUAUAUCUACUUGUAUUCUUUACUCACAGGAUGUUAAAGAUGUUCGAUGGAUUAAAGUAAUGGAUGAGGAGCUUUAGUUUCUUCAAGAGAAUUUCACAUAGGAUAUUGUCUUUUGUUCUCCCGAUGUCAACCCCAUAGGCUGAAAAUGGGUGUAUUAUAUGAAACUGAAUUAUGAUGGAACUCUCAACCAUUACAAGACUCGACUGAUUGCCUUAGGAAGCAAGCAUGAAUAUGGAAUUGAUUAUGAUGAGACAUUUGCAAUGAUAGCAAAAAUGACAAUUGUUCACAUUUUGAUUUUUAUAUAAACUUCUAAUGGAUGGUAUCUUCAUCAAUAUGUGAACAAUGUAUUUCAUCAUGGCGAUCUGGUUGAAAAAUAUUUAUACGACUCUUCACCAACGUCUAUUAUCUUCUUGUAAAGGUGUGUGUAACUAUAAUGCUCUUUAUAUGGGUUGAAACAGAUACCCAUAGCUUGGUAUGAGAAGUUCCGUUCUACUUUACUUGGAUUCUCUUUUUAUCGCACAUCUAUAAUCAUUGUUCUUUUCCUUCUUUAUGUUAAUAAUAUGACUAUUAAUGGUUUUGAUUGGGCAUUCAUUCAGGAGCUUAAACAAUAAUUGAAAUCCUAAUUUCAUAUGAAAGACCCAGAUAAUUUGUAGUAUUUUCUAUCUUUCUCCAUAAGCAUAAGUAUGCCAUAGACCUAAUUUUUAUGGCUGGUCUCUAAUCAGCUAAUUUGGUGGAUACUUCUCUUGAAGAUAAUGUCAAAUACCACUGUGAUGAGGGUGACCUUUUGAAUAAUGCUUUAAUAUAUCAUCAACAACUCGUGGAUAGUCUCAAUUACUUAACAAUUACUCAACUUGACAUAUCAUUUUCCGCUCAAUAGUUAAGUUGGUUCACACGCUCCCCUCAUUGUCUUCACAUGGUUGAACUUGGGUUUUCUUAACUAGAGUCAACUUCUCUCUAUGUUGAAAAUAUAAGUGUUAUCCAAAUUAUUGUCAAUUCAAUGUUUCCUGGACGCACGAAACAUAUUGAAGUGGAUUGUCAUUUUAUUAGGGAUGCCUAUGAUGAUCCAAUGUUUUAAAAACCAGACCAAACCGGUUGGUUCAAUCAGUUGGACCGGGAACCGAAGAUGAAACUGAUUGGGUUAACCAUUCAAAACCGCUAGUGGGUCAAAACGGAGUAAAAUCAUAAAAACUGGAUUGAAUUGUCCAAAACCAUUUGAACCAAAGAAUCGGAGCCAGUUUUAUAAAACCGUAUGGUUCAAAAAAAUUCAUCAAAUUGACCAUUUUAAAAUUUAUUUUUAUAAAUUUUAAUAUGUCAAUAUCAAAACUUAACAUAAAUUUUCAAUCACAAAAAAAAAUCCAUAUUUUUUUACAAUCAUACAAACUUUUAAGUUUUGUCGCUCCAUUAUAAUUUUUCUUUCAACCACACUCCAUCAUCACGCCGCCUCUUUCAAACAUAGUCACAAUAUCUAACUCAAAAUUGAUUGUCGUUCAAAUCAAUAUUGUUUGUUGUUAUCAAUUAAGAUUUAUUUAUUAUGGUUCAAUUCAAAUUCGUUUUUUUUAUUGUUGUUUAAUGAAGUAUAUUAUAUUAUUUAUUUUUGGUAUUUUAUCUUAUUUAAUUUAGGUAUUCUUAAUUAUUUUAAUUUUAUUUUAGUUAUUAUAUUCUAUUAUUUUAAUUUUGGUUUGAAUUAGUUUAACUUAAUUUAUUGUAAUUCUUUAAUUUGAUCAAAUUAUUCUUAAAUGAAUGUUGAAAUGAAGUGUAGAACUAUGUUAUGUUAUUGAGAAAUGAUAUUUCUACACCAAAACUUACACCUACACCGUAUUUCACUGUUUAUCAAUAAGGUAAACACUGAAAUAUUAUCAUAAUAUAUUUUUUUAAAAUAAAAUAUAUAUUUUUUUAAAAUUAAAUGAUAUUGAUAUAAAAUUGUGUGAUUAACCAACUUUAUAAUUUUAUUAACCAACUUUUCACAUUGUAUUAACCAAUUUUGAUGAUUGCUCAAAAUUAUUUUGGACUACUGAACGUUUAUUAACCAAUUUCAUUAUUUUAUUAACCAACUUUUUACUUUUUAUUAACCAACUUUGAUGUACUUUGAUGUACUAGUAAAAAUUAUUUUUAAUAUCUGGACGUGUAUUAACCAACUUCAUCACUUUAUUAACCAACUUUUUACGUUCCAUUAAUCAACUUUAUUUGACUACUUUAAAUGCACUGUUCACGAUUACUGUUCUUCAUGUAGUGUUCACAAUUUUAUUGUAUGUUAUUAUAUGUAUUAUUGAUAUUUUUGUAUUAAAUUUAUAAUAAAUUUUUGAAAUAUAUACAUUAAAUUUUGAACAUAUGAUUAUGUAUGACAUAUUUAUGAAAUUUAAUUUUAUAUUAUUAAUUUAUUUAAUAAACAGAUUCAAUCGUAGGGUUAAUCGAUUGAGUAAAUUAAACCUUAAAUCAUAAAUUUAACCGAUUCGAUUUCCUAUCCGAUUUUUAAAAUAUUCUUAUGAUCAUGUUAUUUAAGCACUCAGGUUGGAGAAUAUAUUUAAUUUCUCUAAUUUAGUCUUCCAAGAUCAGGCAAUAUAAUAUUUGCAGUUACGAGUUGUAAAUGUCUAUUAGAGAGAAGUGAACGAAGAAAAUCAAAAGAUCUUGACAAUUAUGUAGGGAUCCCAUCCAUCCACAACUUUCUUUUGUGUUUUAUUCUCUAUCCUCAAUAUAUAUUCAUUUGGUUUUAAAAUGGAAACAUAAAAUCCAAAGAAAAACAACGUGUGAGACCAAAGGAAAAACUACCUUCAAUUGCAUUGCGUGCACUAAAUAAACUCUAAAAAUUGACAUUAUUGUUUCUUUACUCAACAAUGUAGGAAUAUGCCCUCAAGACCCAAACAGAAAUACAAUAAUAUACUAUAGUUUUGAAGUGGUUUCAAAUUUCCACUCACUAUGACAGAUUGCGUGCAUUCAAAAACUAGCAUGUUAGUUUUCACCUUGUUAGGACUCAAGCAUCCAUAUUUCACAAAUCAACAAACAAACUUCACUGCAGAUUAUGAGAUUCUUAGUUAAACAAACUUUACUAAAAUUGCAUGCAAUGUUAACAUGACAUGAAACCAACGAAAGCAUUUUCAAUAUGUUUUGGAUAGAUCAACCUCGACCUUUGUAGCACUCACACCUUCAAAAUUAAGUUGCAUCUGGUGUUCGACACAUGACAACCACUAUCGAUGUUCGUGUUGGUGCUUCGUAGGCCUCAACCAAAUUACCAGAGUUGUUUACUGAGGAUGCAUAAUCCCUAUGAUGUAAGAUAUAAGAAACCUAAUCUGAAACCAUAAUAUGCAUAACAUAAACCAACUUUAACAUUACAAAAGCAAUAUCAUACUUUGCUACAUUGAAUGCCUUUUCCUAACACAAAGUUGGAUUCUAGACAUAUUUUACUAUCAAUAACAACAUGAUAUUGACUUAUUCCAAGGAUUUUGUCACACAUGAUCUAGAUCCUAGGAGAAAUAUGAACCUGUAACGGAUUUUUCAUAACCAUAGUAAAUUCCUGUUUUUCUGACAAAUCAACAACUCCACCCUUAGGAACCUUCCAAUCAAAAUUCCAAACCAAAUUGGCCACAAAAUAUUCCAAAUGAAGCAAAGCUAAUUGAUAUCCAGGACAAAUCCUCCUCCCAACUCCAAACGGCAUCAUCUUUAUCUCUUUACUUCCUGUAAUAUCAAACGUUUCAUCUUCCAAAAACCUCUCCGGCUUAAACUCCAUGGGAUCCUCCCAAACGAGAGGAUCCCACCCCAUCUCCGCCACCAUAAAAUUCACCGUCCCAUCUUUAGGCACCAAAUAACCAUUCAAAACCACAUCUUCUGUCACAGCAUGGGGCAACACAAAAUGCCCGGGUGGAUGACGCCUCAACCCUUCCAAAACCACACAUUUCAGAUAAGGAAGUUUCUGCAAAUCUUCCUCUUUCACUUCCUUCUUGAAUCCAUUAUCAUCACCACCAAUCACCUCUCUAAUCUCCUCCACAAGCUUUCUCUGCACGUCCGGAUACUUCACCAAAUUCGCCAUAAUCCACUGCAAAGCCGUCGAAGUUGUGUCCGUGCCACCAUUCAAAAACUCGGAACAAAGAGUAACCAUUUCCUCUUCAGUCAACUUGCGUUUCUCCUCCUUUAACUCCAAUUCCAAAAGAGUAUCCGCAUAAGAAACAACACUCUUACUUUCCUUAUUUUGCUUCCUCGCUCUUAUCAGCGGAAGAAGAACAUCUUCUUGAUCCUUAAGCAACUUCAACAACUCCUCCCAUCGUUUGCGCAGCAAAAUCUUAGUAACCUCAGGCCAGAAAUUCAAUACAUUGAAUCUACUCAUACUCAACAGAAGCUUCCUCUGUACACGUUCAAUUUCAUUAACUUUCUCAUCGUUAAGUCUUUCACCAAAACACAUAAAAACAAGUAAACAAAACAUGGCGUAAUGAAAGUGAGGAACAAACGUAAAGGAUUCCGACUCCGACGCUGUUUUGAGACGGUUGAUGAGAGCGUCCAGGACCCAGUUCCGGAUUUCCGAGAAAGAUUUGAUUUUCGACGGAUUAAGCAUCUCGGAGGCAAGAUUACGACGGAGGGUCCUCCACGUGGCACCGUAAGAAGCGGAACUGAUAUUAUGUUGGUUGCUGGACGUGAGUUUCCCGGUGGGAAGUGCUUUAGGACGAUCGGAGAAGAUUGAUGAGUUAUGAACAAGAGCGUGGUGAGCGAGAGAACGGUCGGCGAUGAAAACGGAAGGUCGAGAACCGAUUCUGAGAGUGAUGAUAGGACCAUAUUUGGCGUGGAGGGUUUUGAGUAAAGGUUCGAGUUGGGCGAAGGAUUUUCGGAGCCAUAGGAUGCUUGUGAGAACGGGGAUGUGGAAAGGACCGGGAGGGAGAGUGGCGGUUUUGGUGGUGGUGGUGGUGAGGGUGGAGACGGUGGCUCUGAUGAGGAAGAUGAUGCAGAGAGAGAGUAGCGCUAUGAAUGACCGGGAGGGAGAGUGGCGGUUUUGGUGGUGGUGGUGGUGAGGGUGGAGACGGUGGCUCUGAUGAGGAAGAUGAUGCAGAGAGAGAGUAGCGCUAUGAACCACGUUUCCAUUAUUAGUGUAAGUGUUUG
rnacentral:lncRNA from 1 species